CUGGACCUGCACAGUGCCAAGUCUUGUCCCUGUGGUUGCAUGGAGGGAAGAUGGGCUUCUCUGAGGUGUGUUUUAUGAAACCUGAAAUCCAUGUGAGAGGAAGGAAAAGUGAACUACAUGUUGGUGAAAUAUCCUGAUUUGGUUCUGCCCAUGAAGUGCUGUGGCCUGGUGAGCACCAAGAAGUGACAGGCGUGCUCUGGCAGCAGUGAGGUUUGUGCUGCAGAGCUCCCACCCUGGAAUGCAAGAGAUUUUAUGGGCACUAAUAAAUUAAACCUCAUGUGUUGACUCUAAAAAUGUGGUGGUAAUGAACCAGCCUGGAUUUACAGAUAAGGGGAGCAGGGCACAGACUAAUGUGCUCAUUUCCCUGGGCUUGCAGGGCCUUCCAGCAGUGUGGGUGGGAUGACACCCAGGAAUCCAUCUCUCCUGCACAAUGGGCUUUCCUUCAGGCUCUUGCUCCUUGCCAAAAUGCACCCAAAUAUUCUUUUCCAAAAUCCUCCCUCUGAUGGUCAUCUAGUGAGGUGCUUGUGACUAGCCUUGGAUAGGUUCCUCAGAAAAACAUUCUCUGUCCAGGAAUACCUCAGCAGUGGAAAAAAAAAUCUGGAAAUCAGAAAAAUGUUGACGACUCCAUAGGCCCCACUGCCCCUGUUCUCCAGAGCUGUGGCUGCUUGGCCAUCCCCCUUUGGAGGGCUGGCUGCCAGAUGUCUUAGGGACCUUACUAAGUCUUGCAUUCAGGCUCUUGGCCCUGACGAAGCAGAAGCUGCCUGCAGGCAGCUUUUGGACAGCUGGAUGAAGAUAUCACUCGUCAACCAUCAGCCCUCUCCAGCCCUGGGAAAAGGUGAUGUGAUGGAAGGGCACUCUGUGCUGACCUGAGGAAUGCUGCAGCUUCUUCUGUGGUUUGGCAGUGAAAGUCUCCCAUGAGAUCUCCUGAGGCUGAGGUGGCAUGGAUCUUCAUUUGGAUUUCAGGAGACAUGAACAACAGCAGCUUGUGAAGACAACACUUCUGUGAAGGGGUGUGACUAAGGAGCCAUAGAUAGAGAAGCCUCCAAAUUCAGUGCUUGCAGCUCACAGGCCUCCCAGUGGUGCAGCAAUGCCCAGAAUUAACCUGGCAACCAGAGCUUUCCUUUGGGGAUGGAAAAUUGAAUGGUGCUAAGCUGGUGUUAAGAGCUGUACAGAAAUGGUCCUUGCUCCAGGAACUCGCUGAUAGCAGCACUGGUGACGUGCAUGCAUGGUCCUGUGCUCACAGGAAGGUUUGGCUAAAGUCUGAUCUCAGCUUUGUGAUCAAUGUGGUCUUCAAUGAGUCAGGAACCCCAGAUCUUUAAUCUCAUUGCUUUUAGGAGUUGUGGUUCUACAGUAUUUUAUAUCCAAGGCAGAUAAAGCUGAUGAGUGUCACCAGAACUCCAAAUCCAGGGUACUUUUAUUGUCAAGUUCUUAAUGAUUUUCUAUUUGGAUGUGUGGGGAUGAUAUUUUUUCUCUUUUAUUUUUCCUCCCUCCCCAGACAAACCCUUCACCCUAUUUCAGUGCUUCUUUGAGGCACAUCUAUGUUCCUGGCUGUGGAAGGAGCCAGUGGGGACAGGACCUUGGACAUAAACAAGGUUUCAAGCAGCCUGAACCAUCUGAGGUCCCUCCCUGAUUGUUUUUAGGACAAACCCCUACUGCAGGCACUGGAAAGAAUUUCAAAUAAGUGGCCAAAUAUCUCAGGAACUUGGUUCUGGUGCCCUGGAUCAACCAGCAGUGAUGGGAGCCCACUGGUAUGUGUGUGGAGGGGAGCAGAGACAGAAAGGAAGUAAUAUUGAGUCACAGCAGUCAAGAAGGAUCAAAGAUUGGCUAUUUUUGACACACAAAAGGAGCAUCCAUUUCACUGCUCCAAGCAGCAGAGAAGCUGUGGCACAUCUUAAUGCUACUGGGAAAAAUCAGCUCGUGAAGGUGUUGGCUUUCCUUCUGCUGCCAUGAUUGCUUUUAUUCCCAGAGGAAAGUCAUCCAAGUAGAAGAAGAGAAGCCUCAAAGCUUAAAGUGGAGCUGCUGAGAUAUUUGCUCUAUGUUUUGGGCUUUUUACAAAGUGGUCUGGAUCAAGGCUGGAAAUUGUGAUUGUUGUGUAAAAGCCUGAGAUUUCAGGGCAGUGCUGGUUUCUGGGCAUAUACUUGGGAGUGAGAAAUGCUAAGACUGUGCUUGCUGAACUUGAACCUCUUUUCAUUGGCAACAGAAAAUUUUGUCAGGUUGUUCCUCUCCACCUCAUGUGAAGACCAUCUACCUAUUAUAAUCACUUAAUAAAUAAAC